AUUUGUCAUUUUGGGUGCUUGUGACUUGUACACAGCACCGUGCGUGUUGUUUUCUUUGUUGACUGCACCUGGAGCGACACAGAUGACCUUGGAGUUCGGCGACAUCAUGGUGUACCUUGUGGAGAAUCUGGACAGCUAAUUUCUUCAGAGCAGGCUGGGUGAAUGAUGCAAAAAUAUGGAACCUUCACUCCAAGAAGCCCCAUGUUAUCACCGCACGUGUCAGAGAUAAAUCUUUCACUGAGAAUGACCUCUCAGUCACAAACCUGUGUGGGAUGGUGUUUCUGAGUGCUGACCAUCACUACAAACAACGCUGUUGUGCAGUAGAGAAACGUGAGAUAUGCACCAACCUGAGGGAGCUCCGACCCAAGCCAAUCCCAGCACCCCAUCAUCAAAGUCCCUGUCUGUGAAGACAUAGGCCAGGCAGUAGCCAUC